UNCCCAGAGAGUUCCAGGACAGCCAGGGC
rnacentral:piRNA from 1 species